AACCAGCCUCUCACUAUGAACCAUGCACCUCUGAGCUGCCAUGAUUUUGGCUUCAAAGUAAAUUAAGUGUGGGGUAAGG
ensembl:snoRNA